GAUGAACGCUGACCGAAUGCUUAACACAUGCAAGUCAACUGUGGCGGACGGGUGAGUAACGCGUAAAGAACUUGCCUCACAGUUAGGGACAACAUUUGGAAACGAAUGCUAAUACAUGAUACUGUGAGAGAGCUUUGCGUCCCAUUAGCUGGUUGGAGAGGUAACGGCUCACCACGGCGAUGAUGGGUAGCCGGCCUGAGAGGGUGAUCGGCCACAAGGGGACUGAGACACGGCCCUUACUCCGUCGGGAGGCAGCAGUGGGGAAUAUUGGACAAGUGACCAAAGUCUGAUCCAGCAAUGCUGUGUGCACGAUGAAGUUUUCGGAAUGGAAAGUGCUUUUAGUUGGGAAGCGGUACCAACAGAAGAAGUGACGGCUAAAUACGUGCCAGCAGCGGCGGUAAUUC
rnacentral:rRNA from 1 species